rnacentral:misc_RNA from 1 species
AAGUCGUAACAAGGUUUCCGUAGGUGAGCCUGCGGAAGGAUCAUUACAAGUGAGGCUACCGAACGCUGGGAACAGCGGUUAGGAGUCAUACCACCCACCGUUGUUACAUCUAUUGUUGCUUUGGCGGGCCGUGGCCUCCACUGCGGGCUCUGCUCGUGUGUGCCCGCCAGAGGACCAAACUCUGAAUGUUAGUGAUGUCUGAGUACUAUCUAAUAGUUAAAA